rnacentral:tRNA from 1 species
GCGGCUGUAGUCAAGUGGUUAAGACACAGGAAUGUGGCUCCUGCACGCGUGGGUUCGAUUCCCAUCAGCCGCCCCA